UGGCAAUGAUGUUUGAAUUUCUUCACCUGAAGUCUCUAUGUAGAUCAAAACAGACGAGCUUUUUAACCCUGAGCAGG
ensembl:snoRNA SNORD36 Small nucleolar RNA SNORD36